CACUUCCAGAUCCAGUUGGUGACGCUCACGCCCCAGUGUUUAGUUUAGUCUAUCUUAUGGUGAAAAUGUCCUGGUCAGCAGGGCAAAGCGUCCUGAAGAGGCCACUGGUCACUGUGCUGGGACUUUUGUGCACCCAGGUUUGCUGUGUGACAGGAUUGAUGGUGAAGCAGAGUCCCCCAGACCUGAGUCUCCAGGAGGGACUCAGCUGCACGCUGCAGUGCAAUUUUUCCACCUCUGUGACCAGGGUGCAGUGGUUUCGCCAAAAUCCUGGGGGCCACCUCAUCCACCUGUUUUACAUUCCUUCCGGGACAAAGCAGAAUGGAAGAUUACGCUCUACGACCGUGGUUGAGGAUCGCCGCAGCUUGCUCUACAUUUCCUCCCCCCGCACCACAGACUCAGCCAUUUAUUUCUGCGCCGGGGCGGAGUCACAGUGCUCCCCAGGCACCUGCAGCCUGUGCACAAACCCUCAGCAGGACUUGGCUCCUCCUCCAGCCGCAGUCAGAUCCAGAAGCCCACCACACGGCGUUGGCACGGCUUAAUAUUCCUGACUAUAUCGCUGGAGUUCAAAUCACAGGCACUUUUAGGUCCUACGGAUUUGAGACUUUUUGGUCUUUAUCUUCCCUUCUCAACCUGGGAUCUCUUUUUCUGGACUUAAACCUCUGACUUGGAACAUGAGUAGCUAAUGAGAAGACCGACUUAAAAUGAAUAGUUAAGCCCAAUAUGCGGGAUUCCAAGAGGGAAAAAAGUGAAAGGAAUACAAAGAAAAAAAAUCACUCCAAUAAAGAUGUUAUUAGAGAAGGAU